rnacentral:rRNA from 1 species
CGCGUAGGCGGUGAGAUAAGUCAGAUGUGAAAGCCCUGGGCUCAACCUGGGAAUUGCAUUUGAUACUGUUUGGCUAGAGUCUGGUAGAGGAGGGUAGAAUUCCCGGUGUAGCGGUGAAAUGCGUAGAGAUCGGGAGGAAUACCAGUGGCGAAGGCGGCCCUCUGGACCAAGACUGACGCUGAGGUGCGAAAGCGUGGGGAGCAAACA